UAUAUACUCCCUCCGUCUGAAAAAACUUGUCCCAAACUUGUCCCUCAAAUGAAUGUACCUAGCACUGAUUUGGUGCUAGAUACAUCCAUUUGGAGGACAACUUUUUUCGGACGGAGGAAGUACUUC
rfam:Triticum aestivum genome assembly, contig: Triticum_aestivum_CS42_TGACv1_scaffold_330456_4BS